UACCAGCACCCCGAGUGGUCGGGACGUUUUAUUGGGCCUAAAGCAUCCGUAGCCGGUUCUACAAGUCUUCCGUUAAAUCCACCUGCUUAACAGAUGGGCUGCGGAAGAUACUAUAGAGCUAGGAGGCGGGAGAGGCAAGCGGUACUCGAUGGGUAGGGGUAAAAUCCGUUGAUCCAUUGAAGACCACCAGUGGCGAAGGCGGCUUGCCAGAACGCGCUCGACGGUGAGGGAUGAAAGCUGGGGGGAGCAAACCGGG
rnacentral:rRNA from 1 species